rnacentral:rRNA from 1 species
UACGGGGGGGGCAAGCGUUGUUCGGAAUUACUGGGCGUAAAGGGCUCGUAGGCGGCCAACUAAGUCAGACGUGAAAUCCCUCGGCUUAACCGGGGAACUGCGUCUGAUACUGGUUGGCUUGAAUCCGGGAGAGGGAUGUGGAAUUCCAGGUGUAGCGGUGAAAUGCGUAGAUAUCAGGAGGAACACCGGUGGCGAAGGCGGGACUCUGGGCCGAUACUGACGCUGAGGAGCGAAAGCGUGGGGAGCAAACAGG